AAUAAUUAGGCUCAGAACUUCUGAAAAUCCCUAUAUAUGCCUUGUAUUUACAAAAUCACUCAACCACUGAAUGGCAGUAUUAUAGCUUAACAAAAUAAAUAAAUGGUUUGAACAAUUGAACUUCUAUCAAUUUAAACAAUUAUAAUUUACACGAACACUCACCUAAGCAAAUACACUGUCAAUUAUGGAAUACAUCAUCUUAUGCUUAAAAUUACAACAUCCAUCCUCCAUUAAAGAAUACAGCUUUGGUUAACCUUCACUAUGAUCACAACUCUAACUGAUGCUUAAUGAAUAACAAACCCAAACAACAAAGAUCCGACAGAGAUGAAACUUCACUCGAGCCUUAAAUGGCAAAUCAAACCAACCUGUGGCCAGAUCCACCAUUAUUGACCUUCAAAUCCAGUAUUAGACUUUAAUUUAUCAGAAUACAAAAGCAAGUUCAGAUUUCAGUAGUUAAUACUCAAAUAUAGGCAGCAUGUAUUUGACAAUGAGAUAUAUAGGUUGAGAUCCAACUAAACAUGUGAAAUCAGCUACAAUUCUAGUCACGAAAUUGCUAUGGAGACCAUCUGUCCUUAACAGGUUGUAAGUCUUAAACAUAUCAAAACUAACAUCCAUUCAUGUUCAAAACAGAACAAACAGUCAGUUUACAUAAUCACAGCAAAUAACUUUAAAGAAUAACCAACAUUUCAUAGCAAAUCAAAACAGAGGUACAGGUGUGAGAUGUGUACCUAAACUCGUAAACAAGCUGAACUUUUGCCAAAUAAAGGCUAAGAAAAACAACACGAGAUGAAUUCAGCAAGAUCAAUAGCAGGAAACAGAAGAACAGCCUCAAGUCUUAGCUAAACAGCAGAGUGACAACAACGGAUUUUUUCAACAACUCUAUGCAAUUUUGAAGAAAACAGAAGUUGAAUAGCAAAUCAAAACAGAGAACAACUUGUGAAAACCUUGAUGGAAUUUUCAGAGUGUUAUCUUUUAAAAAUCAGUGUGAAAAAUGAAGAAAAAGAGUCUGAAAUUUCUGCAGAGAGUCCAUUCUCUAAAAUGAAUAUGCAGGGGUGCUUUAUAUAGGGAAUAUGUGUGCCCUAUGAGAGAAUGAGAGAGUAUUCGGCCAGCUCCAUAAAAAUCAGGGAAUUGGCAUCUUUUCAACUGAAUUGGACAGCUGUCCUUUUCAGAUAUUUUUUCUUAUUUUUAGCAUCUUUUCUUAACCAAUUUGGACAGUUGUCCAUCAUCUAUUCUUUUCCUAUUUUUCUCAUCCCCUUAACUUAUGAAAUUAACCCCUUUAGACCUCUGAUUUACUGCAGUUUAACCCCUUCCAAGCUCUUCUAGAACCUUCCAUCGGCUAAAAGAAAGAUUCCCUAAUUUUCUAUUUCAUUUACCCCACUAAAGUUCCAAUUAAUACCAACUAGUGCCUUUACCUCAACUUACUGUCCUCUUUUAUCCCAUAGAAUCAACAUUUACUAAACAAUAACUAAUUAAUCUAAAUUGAAAUUAAGCUAUCAAUUACAAAUUAAUCACAAUCAGCAAACUAGUUGACCUAUCAAUUAAGCACAUGCGUAUUUUAAACCAUAACCUAAUUAAUCGAUUAAACUUCAAGUAGAACUAAAUCAAAUAAUUAUUCAGAAAGCUAAAACAUUUUCAAUAUUAACCUAAGCAUGCUGACAUUCAAACAGGUGAUUACUAACUUUUUUUUUUUUUGAUAAGGUAAAUUAAAAACAGGUUAUUACUAACUAAAUGCAAGCCUACAAUUAUUUAGCUAAUUUAUGAGCAAAACUGAUUCAAUUAAACUAGGUCAGACAAACCACAUGCAAUUAAAAAAAAUCUUCUGCUUUCAACAAACAAAAUCAACAAAAGAAUAAGAUAAAAAGGGUGAGGGUGUACCUAUGGAAGAAAAGACGAUUCAAUUGACGCGAUUUCAACGAGGUUCGGCCGGAUUCCGAUGGUUCCGAAAUGAGCUAAAACUUACAUUAAUCAAUUGCUCUUGACAAAAGCAAUUGAUCAAUGUUAGGGAUUAGGAGGAUGUGAGUACUGUGGGGUGUGAAUUUGAGGGAGAUUGGGGUUGUUUGAAGCGGCGGCGGCGGCAAAGGGUCUUGAGGCGGCUAGGGUUCGAGUGAAAGAGAUGAGAGGGAAUGAAAAUGGGGAAAUGAACUGGUCUCU
rnacentral:lncRNA from 1 species